rnacentral:rRNA from 1 species
UACGUAGGGUCCGAGCGUUGUCCGGAAUUAUUGGGCGUAAAGAGCUCGUAGGCGGUUUGUCGCGUCGAAUGUGAAAUCCCGGGGCUCAACCCCGGGCCUGCAUUCGAUACGGGCAGACUAGAGUUCGGUAGGGGAGUCUGGAAUUCCUGGUGUAGCGGUGAAAUGCGCAGAUAUCAGGAGGAACACCGGUGGCGAAGGCGGGACUCUGGGCCGAUACUGACGCUGAGGAGCGAAAGCGUGGGGAGCAAACAGG